GACAAAUUCUACAUUAGAAAUAUAAGAGGACAUUUUUGUGAAACAAAAAUAAAACCUCAACAUUAUUUACCAAACGGGAAGGUGUUUAUCCUAAUGCAAUAAACUUUUCGGGAGGGUGAUUACUAUAAAUUUUCAUGUUUUAAAAUGUAAAAUGUCUAUUAUUGUAUAGUGUAUCUUUUAAAACAUUUGGACGGUGUUCAACUAUGAACCAGGUAUAAAACUAGUAACAAAAACAUUAUAAUCAGAUGAACCACAAAUAUAAGAGAUGAAUAUUUAUGGUAUAUAUUAUUAUUAUUAUUAUCAAAAAUAAAAUAUUAUACUCUCAUUGAUUAUCACGCGAUGAAAGUGAGUUUAUGGUGAUAUCUUCUCAGGGCCCCAUUUGGGCAAAGAGUUCCUCUUCACAUCGACAAGAGCAAGAAGGUUCUUGAUAUGCUAAGAAACCUCCGUCACCAGUGAGAAUGUGAUGAAGAUAUGGUGAUUGUGCAAGGAUCUGAAUGAACUCGAUGCUUAACUCUACUCUAAUUAAUCUGCUUUUGCUGGAGGCUGCUCUUGAGUAUAUUUAAGAUGGGAUGCAUUGAAUUGCUCUUUGCCACUUGUCUUUAAGAUUCUUUCACUUCACCUAAUCCUGUUACUCUUUCAGAGGAAGCUGGUCUCAUCUAUAAAAGACACCACUCCUAA